CUACCCCACACAGUCCUUUGCGAUUUUCCUCUCCCACUUUGGGAGCCAGUGGAUGAAGAGGGUGGAACCAUAGAAUAGAAGGAACCCAGAUACAGAUCACUGUUCAGAGGAGAGCUGCCUGCCAGUCAGGAAGACCCAUUUUGGACUUUAUAAAUGCUCUGACCUUAAAAGGAAUAUUGGAGGCAGGAGGAAACAGAGGAAGCAAGAAGAAUUUCCUGGAAGGUAAUUAUUGUAAUAUAAGCAUACUUCGGAGAUAUUGCAGGUUCCGUUCCAGACCACUGCAACAGUGAAUAUCUCAAUCAACAUCUUCACCAGGAGUAGAUUUUAUCUUAAGAAGCCACUUUCUUUGCUCAUCCAGAAGCUACAACUCCUCAUCAUGAGAUUUCAGCAGUUCAGUUCCAUCUUCAGGCCCUAUUUUUAGUUCUCUUUAGUUCUCUUGCUAUUUCCACGACAUCUGCAAUGACUUCCUCAACUGAAGUCUUGAACCCCUCAAAGUAAUCCAUGAAGGAAGAUGACCACGGCCCCUCUGUUCCCUCGCCUGUGUGCCAAAUGGAUCCACAGCUAGAGACAAGCUCCUUCCCUUUGAACGGUGGGAAGCAGGCCAAGAUGUUUUAAAGACAGAUGGCAUCAGAUGCAGAGAAGCAAGCUGGAACUCGGAGCACAGCUGCCUUAUUUACUUACCUACUGGCUGCAUUUCUGAGAACCAGUUUUAUUCCUGUUCAAAGGAAGCCAGGCAGAGUUGGGAAAAUAUUUUCCUAGCCAGCUCCUUAGCACCACUGUCUGAGGGAAACCAUCUGGCCAAGAUGCCCUUCAAGUGUGGAAAUUGAGGCAGAGAGAAGUUUAGUGACUUGUCCAAGGUCACACAGUUCAUGAGUGAUGGAACCAGGACUUGGAUUCUUUUUGAGCUUUGUCCAUAUUUCAAUGUAUAGCUUUAGUUUAUUCUUUUAUAUUGCUGUACAGUAUAAUAUUGUAUGAAUAUACCUCAAUGUAAUUAUAUUCUUAUUAGUGAACUUUUAGUUUUACAAUUUUUCACUAUUAAAAGAAUUUGAAAUAAACUUUUUUUGUCUCUUUAUGCAACUGUAUGAUUUUCUUUAAAAUAUGUAUCUAACAGAAGAAUAAGUUAUGUGCAUCUUCAACUUUAUUAGAUAGAGCCAAAUUUCUCUUCCAAAAUGAUUUUACCAGUUUACAUUCCAACCAGGAGUGAAUGAGUUCAUAUUUUUUCACUUUCUUCCCAGUGUCCAGUACUGUCAGACUUUAAAAAAUUUUUCAGUAUGAUGGGUAUACUCAUUAAUUUUCUGAGUUACAUGCCCCUGAUUAAUAGUAAAGUUAAGAAUCUUUUUGCAAAUAUACAGGAUUUGGGGUUUUCUCUUUUGUGAAUUACUUGUUUAUAUAAUUUGUCAGUUUGUCUACUGGGUCUAUGCUUUUCUUACUG
rnacentral:lncRNA from 1 species